GACAGAGGGUGCAAGCGUUGUUCGGAAUCAUUGGGCGUAAAGCGCACGUAGGCGGCUUGGCGCGUCGGAUGUGAAAGCCCAGGGCUCAACCUUGGAAGUGCAUCCGAAACGGCUUGGCUUGAGUCCCGGAGAGGGUGGUGGAAUUCCCAGUGUAGAGGUGAAAUUCGUAGAUAUUGGGAGGAACACCGGUGGCGUGGGCGACCACCUGGACGGUGACUGACGCUGAGGUGCGAAAGCGUGGGGAGCAAACAGG
rnacentral:misc_RNA from 1 species